rnacentral:rRNA from 1 species
CUGCUGCCUCCCGUAGGAGUCUGGGCCGUGUCUCAGUCCCAGUCUGGAUGAUCAUCCUCUCAAACCAUCUAACGAUCGUCGACUUGGUGAGCCUUUACCUCACCAACUAUCUAAUCGUACGCAAGCCAUUCCUAAAGCGCAUAAAUGCUUUAAUCCAAAGAUCACAUGCGGUAUUAGCCACUCUUUCGAGUAGUUAUCCCUCACUUUAGGGUAUGUUCUCACGCGUUACUCAGCCGUCCGCCG